rnacentral:rRNA from 1 species
UACAGAGGUCUCAAGCGUUGUUCGGAUUCAUUGGGCGUAAAGGGUGCGUAGGUGGUGGGGUAAGUCGGAUGUGAAAUCCCGGGGCUCAACCCCGGAACUGCAUUCGAUACUGCCUUGCUCGAGUACUGGAGAGGAGACUGGAAUUUACGGUGUAGCAGUGAAAUGCGUAGAUAUCGUAAGGAAGACCAGUGGCGAAGGCGAGUCUCUGGACAGUUACUGACACUGAGGCACGAAGGUCAGGGGAGCAAACGGG